AACGAACGCUGGCGGCAGGCCUAACACAUGCAAGUCGAGCGCCCUUUCGGGGGAGCGGCGGACGGGUGAGUAACGCGUGGGAAUAUGCCCUUCUCUACGGAAUAGCCUCGGGAAACUGAGAGUAAUACCGUAUACGCCCUGUGGGGGAAAGAUUUAUCGGGGAAGGAUUAGCCCGCGUUGGAUUAGGUAGUUGGUGGGGUAAUGGCCUACCAAGCCGACGAUCCAUAGCUGGUUUGAGAGGAUGAUCAGCCACACUGGGACUGAGACACGGCCCAGACUCCUACGGGAGGCAGCAGUGGGGAAUCUUAGACAAUGGGGGCAACCCUGAUCUAGCCGUGCCGCGUGAGUGAUGAAGGCCUUAGGGUUGUAAAGCUCUUUCAGCUGGGAAGAUAAUGACGGUACCAGCAGAAGAAGCCCCGGCUAACUCCGUG
rnacentral:rRNA from 1 species